UGGGGAAUAUUGCACAAUGGGCGAAAGCCUGAUGCAGCAACGCCGCGUGAGUGAUGAAGGCCUUCGGGUUGUAAAGCUCUGUCUUUUGGGACGAUAAUGACGGUACCAAAGGAGGAAGCCACGGCUAACUACGUGCCAGCAGCCGCGGUAAUACGUAGGUGGCAAGCGUUGUCCGGAUUUACUGGGCGUAAAGGAUGCGUAGGCGGAUUUUUAAGUGAGAUGUGAAAACCCUAAGCUUAACUUGGGGACUGCAUUUCAUACUGGAAAAUCUAGAGUGCGGGAGAGGAGAAUGGAAUUCCUAGUGUAGCGGUGAAAUGCGUAGAGAUUAGGAAGAACACCAGUGGCGAAGGCGAUUCUCUGGACCGUAACUGACGCUGAGGCAUGAAAGCGUGGGUAGCAAACAGGAUUAGAUACCCUGGUAGUCCACGCCGUAAACGAUGAGUACUAGGUGUAGGAGGUAUCGACCCCUUCUGUGCCGCAGUUAACACAAUAAGUACUCCGCCUGGGAAGUACGAUCGCAAGAUUAAAACUCAAAUGAAUUGACGGGGUCAUAGCUGUUUCCU
rnacentral:rRNA from 1 species